UACCUGAUGGUUCCACAGACUGAGAGCUAGCUUGGGCUGACAGCAGACUACCUGACAGUUCAACAGAUUGUGAGCUGGCUUGGGCUGGUUGUUGGAUGCCAGACUGGUCCACAAACUGUGAGCUGGCUUGGGCUGGUUCUUGGAUGCCAGACUGUUCAACAGAUUGUGAGCUGGCUUGGGCUGAUUGUAGGUCACUGGGCUGGUCCACAGACUGGUAUCUGGCUUGGCCUGAUUGCAGACCGCUGGGCUGGGACACAGACUGGUAGCGGGCUUGGGCUGACUGCAGACCGCUGGGCUGGGACACAGACUGAU